AUCGGUGCUUUGUUUUAUCUCUUUUGCAGUAUCUUAAGAAUCCGACUUGGAACAAAGCCUGUCUUCUAAAAUUCCUUAACAUUUAAAAGAGACACUAUACAUUGGUACCUUGGCACUCAACUGCUUUGAAACUCAUCAAAUUUGGUGCUUGAUGCAUUCUGAUGAGAAAAUUUUGUCCCAUUUGUUUGGUACUCAAUACGCAAGGUGUCAGUUGCCUCAUGAUUCACUAACUUUUCCAGCCAAAACAAAGGGUGACCUGUUAGUCACUUGAUAGCCCCUGCCCUGUGCACAUCACCUUACAGUCUUAUCUUUAUUUCUGCAGUCAUCUUGUGUAUUUUUGCUUUUCUUUCCCUCAUCAGUAAAGUUACAGUGAAGCUUUUAUUUUAUUUAAUCUAAGUAUUUACUAACUUUUAGGUUUGUUUUCAUGGAAAGUAAUGAUAUACAAUCCUAGCUUUUUACAUAUUGCCUUAAAAUGUGCAGUUUUUGGUUUGGGAAUGUAUUGAAUUUAUUGACAUUAUUCCUUAUGGGGAAAUUUUUUUUUUGUACUCAUUGCACCUCCCAGAAACGAGUACUGAAGUACCACUGUAUAGCAAUAUGAUAUUCCAGAAGCAUAUAAGGACCCUAUGGCAUAAAUACUAUAAUGUUAUUUUUUCCUCUCCUUCUUAGGAAAAUAAUGCAGUUUUCAUUUUUAGAAAGCAAGUACAGUUACAGAAUACAUAAAAUGGUACAAAUACUGUAACUGAACUGCAUUACUAACUACAAAAUUGCGUGUACAAAACUAUAAGAAUUUGCAUUCUUCCAUAAUAAAAACCAAACUCUUAUAAGAGGUUUUUUUUUUUCUAAAUGUAAACUAACAAUUUUGAGAGUUUUGCAACAUUCUAGAGAUCAACUUUUCCAGGUUGAAAUGGGAUUCAUUUGGAUACUGCAGAUAUAACGGUGUUUUAAGAAAGGUAUUGAUUGCUAACAUUUUUGGCAAUCAUUUUUACAUUACAAGCUAAAACCAAUUCUAGCAAAUUAGGCAACUGGAUAUUUUCAAAAGGAUAUUCCUCCAUUUAAACUGACUUCACUUUUUGCUUAAAAAAAUUUAAAAUAUACUAUCUAAAAGCUGAAGGUAAUAUGGCAGAAUCCUUGGCGAACAAGAGUAUGUUUUUGUCUAGCUGAACAGAAUUUUCAGGUUUAUGAAAUAUACAAAAGCAUGCAAACUUGACCUACCUAUGAGAGAAUGACAGGUGGACAACAAAAAUCGUUUUGUGUGUGUGUGUGUGUGUGUGAAUGCCUCUCUCUUACCUGAGAAACUCAGAAAAGAAGGUUAAUAUUACAGUGGGUAGUAGAAAGUAUCUCAGUGAAGUCAAAACAUGAAC